AAUCCGCAUCACAUACCAAAUCAAAACCAACGGUUGAUCUAACACCCUCACUCAUACUAGAGCCCAAUCUCAACCGUUGAUCGAAUCCCGGACGGGCGUUUAAUUCAACCAGCCCGCUGGGAGGAAAAAAAGCGCGAGAACGAAAACCGAAUCCCAAAUCGAAAUCGAUUCGAUGGCGCCUCACUCCUUUCAAAUACCGCCCAAUUCCCCAAUUUUUAUCCUCGCUUCAAAACCCUAGGCCCUCAAAAACUCCCCCUUUUGUCUAAAUUCCCCAAAUCUCGCUCGAAAAUUUCCCCAAUUUUGACAAAUUCUAGGGUUCCUGAGAAUGGAGAUGGGGCCCGAGCCGCUUCCUCCUCCGAUCCCUUUUUACUGAUGAAAAGUUGAAAUUUGAGUACUAUCGUCCAAUGAAAACUUUAGCUCUAGACCCAGAUUAUUCACGGAAAUCAUCAAGAAGAUAUGUUGCUGGUGGUUUAGCUGGUCAACUUUUUUUGAAUUCGAAAACCUGGCAUUGGUUAUUCUAAACAGGUAUUACAUGAUGGAGAAGGUCCAACACAUGCGGUCAAAUGGAGGACCGGUCUUAUUGCUUGGGCUAAUGAUGCAGGGGUAAAAGUUUAUGACAUGGCGAAUAAUGCACGUAUGGCAUUCAUUGAGAGGCCUCAGGGAAGUCCACGUCCUGAACUUCUGCUUAAUUCAGUUGCAUUAAGCAGCUGAUGCAACUGAAUUAACUAAGUAUCACGGGAAGCCCACUUUUUGCUACAACAAAUGGAUCCGUUUAUAUGUGUUAUCUUGACUAGAGAAAAAAGUAAUAUAUUUAUUUCCUAUUUUCUCAUCACCGUUAGAGAAAUAGCAGUUUAAUAUUUCUAGUUCUAGGUUUCCCUCCAAUUCAUAACAAUGUUCAGUUAGUAUUGUACACUGAGCACCCUUGUGCUUGGUUCUGUAGUGAGGGGAAGCAUAGGGAGACAUGGUCUGAUUCACGCAGUGAUGCUUAAGUGCACUAUUAUUUGAAGAGAAGAAAAGGAA